rnacentral:rRNA from 1 species
CCUACGGGUGGCAGCAGUGGGGAAUAUUGCACAAUGGGGGAAACCCUGAUGCAGCGACGCCGCGUGAGCGAUGAAGUAUUUCUGUGUGUAAAGCUCUAUCAGCAGGGAAGAAAAUGACGGUACCUGACUAAGAAGCCCCGGCUAACUACGUGCCGGCAGCCGCGGUAAUACGUAGGGGGCCGGCGUUAUCCGGAUUUACUGGGUGUAAAGGGGGCGUAGAAGGGGGUGAAAGGCAGAUGGGAAAGCCUUGGGCUCAAACCCGGGACUGCAUUUGGCACUGUGCUGAUAGAGUGCAGGAGAGGUAGGCGGAAUUACUAGUGUAGCGGUGAAAUGCGUAGAUAUUAGGAGGAACACCAGUGGCGAAGGCGGCUUGCUGGACGAUGACUGACGUUGAGGCUCGAAAGCGUGGGGAGCAAACAGGAUUAGAUACCCGGGUAGUC